rnacentral:rRNA from 1 species
CUCUGUGACUCCUACGGGAGGCAGCAGUGGGGGAAUAUUGCACAAUGGGCGCAAGCCUGAUGCAGCAACGCCGUGUGAGUGAAGAAGGUUUUCGGAUCGUAAAACUCUGUCCUAAGGGAAGAAACAAAUGACGGUACCUUAGGAGGAAGCCCCCGGCUAACUACGUGCCAGCAGCCGCGGUAAUACGUAGGGGGCAAGCGUUAUCCGGAAUCACUGGGCGUAAAGGGUGCGUAGGCGGCUUAGCAAGCCAGGGGUGAAAGGCAUUGGCUCAACCAAUGUAAGCCUUUGGAACUGUUAAGCUUGAGUGCAGGAGAGGUAAGUGGAAUUCCUAGUGUAGAGGUGAAAUUCGUAGAUAUUAGGAGGAACACCAGUGGCGAAGGCGACUUACUGGACUGUAACUGACGCUGAUGCACGAAAGCGUGGGUAGCGAACAGGAUUAGAUACCCUGGUAG